UGAGGGAUAUUGGUCAAUGGGGGAAACCCUGAACCAGCAACGCCGCGUGAGGGAAGACGGUUUUCGGAUUGUAAACCUCUGUCCUCUGUGAAGAUAAUGACGGUAGCAGAGGAGGAAGCUCCGGCUAACUACGUGCCAGCAGCCGCGGUAAUACGUAGGGAGCAAGCGUUGUCCGGAUUUACUGGGUGUAAAGGGUGCGUAGGCGGCUUUGCAAGUCAGAAGUGAAAUCCAUGGGCUUAACCCAUGAACUGCUUUUGAAACUGCAGAGCUUGAGUGGAGUAGAGGUAGGCGGAAUUCCCGGUG
rnacentral:rRNA from 1 species